rnacentral:rRNA from 1 species
GAUGAACGCUGACAGAAUGCUUAACACAUGCAAGUCGAUUCAAAGUUUCUUUCGGGAAACGGAGGAUGGCGGACGGGUGAGUAACGCGUAAGAAACUUGCCUUUUGGACUGGGACAACUGUUGGAAACGACAGCUAAUACCGGAUAUUAUGAGAUUUCCGCAUGGAAAACUUAUGAAAGCUAUAUGCGCCAAAAGAGAGUCUUGCGUUCCAUUAGCUAGUUGGUGGGGUAAUGGCCCACCAAGGCGACGAUGGAUAGCCGGCCUGAGAGGGUGAACGGCCACAAGGGGACUGAGACACGGCCCUUACUCCUACGGGAGGCAGCAGUGGGGAAUAUUGGACAAUGGGCCACAAGCCUGAUCCAGCAAUUCUGUGUGCACGAUGAAGGUUUUCGGAUCGUAAAGUGCUUUCAGUUGGGAAGAAGAAAGUGACGGUACCAACAGAAGAAGCGACGGCUAAAUACG